rnacentral:lncRNA from 1 species
GCUCCCAACAAAACAGUUCCAUCUUUGGCUAGGCCUUUGGUAUUUCAAGGCGCUGCCAGUGGGGAGAGAUGCCGCGUGCCCGAGAGGCUCUGGGAGGCACCAAAGAAGGCCCAGAGAGGUUUAACAACUUCCUCAGAAUCACACAGCUUCCAAAUGGUUGGGUUGGGUUUACAUUUAGGCGGUCUUGCUCCAGAGCCAGUGCACCUAACCUUUGCAAGCCACGAACCUCAACAAAGUGGAGAAGGAAACGCUGGGAAAUUUGGAAGUCAGACAUGGCAAGUUUUUCUAACUGUAAGAAGUGGACAAUAGCCUAUGAUCUACAGUGCCCAUUCCAACUCAGAGAAUCUUUACAUCUGGAGAUCUAUAGCAGGGCUAUCCCUAGUGACAUGCGUGAAGAAGCUUGGAAAUGGUGCUGGGUAGGAGCUGAGUGUGCAGAAUGUGGAAAGGCAUUCUAAACCAAAGGAAGAACACGAGUAAAGAUGAUGAAGCAGGGAUAAGGCUAAAAUGAAAUUUGUGAUCUGAUCCACAUACAAGCACAGUGUAGUACAGCUGGAAUAUAGAGAAGAGCUUGAAGACUUAUGAGCAACUAUCCCGGUACUCUUGGAGGCUCUGCAACCACAGUUUGAGAAACUCCGCGUUCAAAGUUAAAAACUGUCACCUGAAUAGUUAAUAACAUCAAAGAUUGUGAAAGCAAGUAUAAAUAACACAGAGAUUAAAAUAAUGAGGCAGGAU